UGCGGAUUCUAGCACCCACUAAGGAAUUAAAGUAAUUUCUUGGAUUGGAGGUAGAGGCUACCAAUUCGUAUAAAAUAAUGGAAGAAUCUUUAGACUAAAGUUCAAAUCUUUAGGCUUAAAAUAAUUCAUAUACUAAUAGGUCAAUUGUUCUCUUUUUAAAAAUAACUAAAAAAUAAUCACUCUCUUCACUGCUAGAUAGUGCAAAUGUUAUCAGACC
rnacentral:lncRNA from 1 species